rnacentral:lncRNA from 1 species
CUCUGCUUAUGCGACACCCGCCUUUCUUUUUUUUGUUGUUGUUGUUACGAAGUUUCCUUAAGAUUUUACAAGUGAAGUACUGAGCUGUGCGAUGUGAACCACCCUUCCCCAUUUUCGUUUGGACACCUUCAGUAAGAAAGGAAUUUCUCACUUUAAAAAGAAGCAAGAAGGAAGUCAGAUUGGAUCAACUCCCUCUUGUAUAGAGAACCACACUUCUUGGGCUUGUGGUGUUGUGACAUUUCUUCAAAGAUGGACUAAAUCUCUGCCAUCUCUCCCACCUCCUCAUGGAAGGCCACCCCUGGCACAGAUGGGCACUUAGGAGCCUGCAUUCAUUUUUAUAGACCCCACUCUCCCCAAGCUGAGAGUGGCCUAAAGUGAACACCCCUAGGAAAGGAGGAAGAGCUGGUAUCCAAAGAUUAUUGUUCAUGGCCCUCUACCAGCGACAGCUUGUCCUCCUGAGCCAUCUUGCCUAGCAUUUGAAUGAUUUAGCUUUUAAAGUAUCAUUACAAAGCUUUGUAAUUUACAGUUUUUUUUUAGCUGUAUUACUACC